UUUGACGUCAAAGCGCAUCGAUAACUGAUUCAGUAAUUGGCAACUACUCCUCUAUCAAUGUGUAUGCACAUGGAGACUUGGACUGUCAGAUAAGGGCAGAACGCCAACAACCAAGGCAAGAAGAAUGUGAAAAAGGAUUCAGUAUGUUCAAGAACCCCAAGCCUGAAUCGGAGAUGAGAAAGUGACCACAUCAAAAUGGAGAGAAAAGUAAAAGGUGAG
rnacentral:lncRNA from 1 species